GGGCCCGCACAAGCGGCGGAGCAUGCGGAUUAAUUCGAUGCAACGCGAAGAACCUUACCAAGGCUUGACAUUCACCGGACCGCACUGGAGACAGUGCUUCCCUUCGGGGUCGGUGGACAGGUGGUGCAUGGUUGUCGUCAGCUCGUGUCGUGAGAUGUUGGGUUAAGUCCCGCAACGAGCGCAACCCUCGUUCUAUGUUGCCAGCACGUGAUGGUGGGGACUCAUAGGAGACUGCCGGGGUCAACUCGGAGGAAGGUGGGGAUGACGUCAAAUCAUCAUGCCCCUUAUGUCUUGGGCUUCACGCAUGCUACAAUGGCCGGUACAAAGGGUUGCGAUACUGUGAGGUGGAGCUAAUCCCAAAAAGCCGGUCUCAGUUCGGAUUGAGGUCUGCAACUCGACCUCAUGAAGUCGGAGUCGCUAGUAAUCG
rnacentral:rRNA from 1 species